ensembl:snRNA U5 U5 spliceosomal RNA
AUACUCUGGUUUUUCUUCAGAUCGCAUAGAUCUUCUGCCUUUUUCUAAAGCUUUCAGUGGAAAGAAACAACUCUGAAUCUUAAUCCAAUUUUUUGAAUCCUUGCAGAUAGCAAGGCU